rnacentral:ncRNA from 1 species
UAGCCGGCCUGAGAGGGCGACCGGCCACACUGGGACUGAGACACGGCCCAGACUCCUACGGGAGGCAGCAGUGGGGAAUAUUGCACAAUGGGCGAAAGCCUGAUGCAGCGACGCCGCGUGAGGGAUGACGGCUUCGGGUUGUAANNNUGGUGGAGUCGCCGUUGAAAUACCACUCUGGUCGUGCUGGAUGUCUAACCUCGGUCCGUGAUCCGGAUCAGGGACAGUGUCUGAUGGGUAGUUUAACUGGGGCGGUUGCCUCCCAAAGGGUAACGGAGGCGCCCAAAGGUUCCCUCAGCCUGGUUGGCAAUCAGGUGUUGAGUGUAAGUGCACAAGGGAGCUUGACUGUGAGACCGACGGGUCGAGCAGGGACGAAAGUCGGGACUAGUGAUCCGGCGGUGGCUUGUGGAAGCGCCGUCGCUCAACGGAUAAAAGGUACCCCGGGGAUAACAGGCUGAUCUUCCCCAAGAGUCCAUAUCGACGGGAUGGUUUGGCACCUCGAUGUCGGCUCGUCGCAUCCUGGGGCUGGAGUCGGUCCCAAGGGUUGGGCUGUUCGCCCAUUAAAGCGGUACGCGAGCUGGGUUUAGAACGUCGUGAGACAGUUCGGUCCCUAUCCGCUGUGCGCGUAGGAAUAUUGAGAAGGGCUGUCCCUAGUACGAGAGGACCGGGACGGACGAACCUCUGGUGUGCCAGUUGUCCUGCCAAGGGCAUGGCUGGUUGGCUACGUUCGGGAGGGAUAACCGCUGAAAGCAUCUAAGCGGGAAGCCUGCUUCGAGAUGAGUAUUCCCACCUCCUUGAGAGGGUAAGGCUCCCAGUAGACGACUGGGUUGAUAGGCCGGAUGUGGAAGCCCAGUAAUGGGUGGAGCUGACCGGUACUAAUAGGCCGA